UACGGAGGGGGCUAGCGUUGUUCGGAAUUACUGGGCGUAAAGCGUACGUAGGCGGACUAUUAAGUAAGAUGUGAAAUCCCAGGGCUCAACCCUGGAACUGCAUUUUAAACUGGUAGUCUAGAGUUAUGGAGAGGUAAGUGGAAUUCCUAGUGUAGAGGUGAAAUUCGUAGAUAUUAGGAGGAACACCAGAGGCGAAGGCGGCUUACUGGACAUAUACUGACGCUGAGGUACGAAAGUGUGGGGGAGCAAA
rnacentral:rRNA from 1 species